UCUCGUGCGUGCUGGCGUGCAGACGGGUCGUACACACAGUGCCCAGCACUCGCGCGGGCAAAUCACCCUCUCGCAAUAUUUUUUUCGCUAGCAGUUUUUUUCUAUUUUGCCGUUUUUCGAUUUAAAGUGGCCAAAGUACCAAAUAAAUAGAAUUUUCAAAUCAUUUUAGCACAGUGAUGGGCGAGGUGUUGCAUAUAUACUCCAGCUUGGGAGGGCUAAUAGAAAGUCAAAAAUCGAGCUAGAUAUACAUAGUGAGCAGACAUUAAAAUUGUUGUAAUUAGUUAGGUUUGUUUAGAUUAGUUUUAUAAUUAAUCAGCAUUAGAGUAAUUAUUAAGAUUAGACUCUGUGUAUAAAUACUUAAUUUCUCAUUAAUGAAAACAAGUUAUUCAUUUUUCAAGAACCCCCUAUAUUCUUCCUCUCUCUUGAACUCCCUGCCUGUCACACAUUUUCAUAUUUAUAAAGAAAAAUUUCACCAUUUUUCUUUUAUUUUUUGGAAGAUUUUAAGUUUUAACAUUCCCUUCUACAUUUCCUUUCUAUUUAGAGUAGUUUUAUUUUUUUACCCAAUAACUGUUUAUCGAUGUACAUCUUUUGCAGAUUAAAUUUUAGUUUCUACUUGGGGUUUCUUUCUUAAUUAAAUUGCUUUUCCAUGUAUAUGUUUUGCUUAAUGUGAAUCUUUUGUUACAAAAGUAUGGUACUUCAACUUAGCUAAUGCUACACAAUCUUUAACUGAUUAGCAUAAUACUUCAAAUCAUUUAGUGCUACAAAAUAUGAAUGCAUUGACUCUGUAUUUAAUAAUCUACUAACUUCUAAAGUAACAUUGUACGAUUAUUUUUUGUUAAUUAUUUCAUAAUUUUCAAGUCUAUUUUAUGUUUUGGAAUUUGUAACAUAUGAAAAAUUUAUAUGAUAUUGAUCUGCACCAUGGGGAAAAAAAUAUUUUUAAGCCAAAUCCUAGAUAUGUUAGAGGGAAAUAUGUG
rnacentral:lncRNA from 1 species